ACUACUCCCUCCGUCACAAAAAGGAUGUCUCAAGUUUGUUUGAAUUUGGACGAAUCUAUAUAUUAAAUAGUGUCUAGAUACAUCCAAGUUUAGACAAAUUUGAUACAUCCUUUUCGGGACGGAGGGAGUACAUG
rnacentral:pre_miRNA from 9 species